ACGAACGCUGGCGGCGUGCCUAAUACAUGCAAGUAGAACGCUGAAGGAGGAGCUUGCUUCUCUGGAUGAGUUGCGAACGGGUGAGUAACGCGUAGGUAACCUGCCUGGUAGCGGGGGAUAACCUUCGGAAACGAUAGCUAAUACCGAAUAAGAGUAGACGUUGCAUGACAUUUGCUAAAAAGGUGCAAUUGAAUCACUACCAGAUGGACCUGCGUUGUAUUAGCAGGUGGGUGGGGUACCGGCUCACCAAGGCGACGAUACAUAGCCGCACUGAGAGGCUGAUCGGCCACACUGGGGCUGAGACACGGCCCAGACUCCUUCAGAAGGCAGCAAUAGGGAUUCUUCGGCAAUGGACGGAAGUCUGGCCGAGCAACGCCGCGUGAGUGAAGAAGGUUUUCGGAUCGUAAAGCUCUGUUGUAAGGGAAGAACGAGUGUGAGAGUGGAAAGUUCACACUGUGACGGUAUCUGACCAGAAAGGAACGGCUAAGUACGUG
rnacentral:rRNA from 1 species